ensembl:lncRNA
GUUUAAUUCACUUGCACAGCUGCUGCCGUGUUCUUCAGCCACCGGUGGAUGCCAGACCCGGAGUGCCCUCUCCGGUACAGGAGAAACAUGAAUGUAGCGCAAGCCUGUUUAUGGGAACGGAACCGCCCCAGCGUGAAUUAUUCAUGGGCUCUUGCGAGCUCAUUCUCAAAAUAUCAAUUUCUCCCAGUCAUGCCAAGCAGCACUUAAGCCUGAAAGCCCUGUUAAAAUGAAAGGCCCAGGGAGCCAGACAGGGCAUGGGGCUGCGUGCUGCCUACGGGGGCACCAAGAUCAGGGGCACAUGGCCACCACUCCUGGUGCCCAGCCUAGCCCGGGCACCCAGCACUCGCUGGAGGCACCCCUCAUGGCACAGCCCUAUGGCUCUGACAUUGCCCCAGUGAGGGCAGUAGGGAACCUGCAGGCAACAGCUAGGCUGGAGCAGCGUUACUAGUACUAAUUAAAAUGUAGAUGCUCCCCAAACUGCAACUUGGAGCUUCUCUGACUACUGCUAAAUCAAAAGCAGCAAGGCAGGGAGGCAGGGAGCUGUGCAGCAGGUGCUGCUGGCAGCAGGGGAGCCCCACUGGCUCUGCUCCCAUCUGUGGGAUGCUCUGUCCUUUGGGAUUGUGCUUGGCUUUAGGAGGUGCCAGCAUGCACACCUCCCUCUGUAUGUGUCCUUACCUUUACCCCAGCAGGGCUGUUCCCCACUUGCAGGCUGUGAUGCUGCAGCAAACAUCCUCACAGUUCUUACUUCACAGCCCUUGUAUCACCUGCACAAAGACAGGCACAGCUUUUGCAUCCCCUGAUUGUUUUUGGAUGGAAAUGAUAAAUGCCUUUGGUCCAUGGUACGUAGUUCUGG